CACGUCAGAUCGCGAUGCUGACGUGGCAACAAAUCGUUCUUUAAAGGCCGCGUUUUGUUGUCACGUCAGCAAAGCGCGCUGACGUGG
rfam:Gossypium hirsutum cultivar TM-1 chromosome 9, whole genome shotgun sequence